UUCAUUCUCACAAAUUCAUUCUCUCUCUUCGCUCAACGAUUUCAUCGCUCCCUCUCUCCUCCACCGCGCCCUCCUCCUUCGCUUUCUCCUCCACCGCGUCCUCUUCUCCUCCACCGCGUCCUCCUCCCCUCCACUGCAAGCGAUUUCAGAUGCGUUCUUCGGUUUCAUGCUCUUGUUCAAUUGAACUUGAUUCGGAAUCUCUUAUGCGUAUUUGUUCUUCUCGAUCUAAUAUCGUAUUUCAUUUGCCCUAAUUUUGCAGAUUCUGUAACUUAAUUGUUAUUGCUGAUUCAAUUGAACUUGAUUUCAAUUUUCAAGCAUACACGGUCAUAGGGGAAGAAUUGGACAACGGUUAGGCUGGUUUCAUCUAAGAUUCAAGCGCAAAACCUCUCAAAGGUAAAAAGAUGAGCCUGCUAAUAGUGGACCUCACUCUGAUUUGAAUUGUGUGUCUGAUUCAGUUCUAUUACAGAAAUAAUUGAUUUCGUGAAGGUUGUCUACCUCCUCUCCUCCACCGUUACUCCAACACUAGCUGAAUUUGCUUGGUUGAGGUUAUUUCUCAUCUGUGGUUCUGAUUCUUGUUCCCUUAUGUUAGAGAUACUUUGUAGUUUGUGGUUAUUUUGGUCAGUGAUUCUUGUUCAAUUUGAGCUGCUACCUGACCAAUUUGUGGGUUUCUCUUAUUUUUAUCUUCUUUCUUAUUGAAUUGUUUAAGUAAAGGUUGUCUGCCUCUCCAAUUGGAUAUGAUUUUUGUUUGACUGAUGGUAUGCUUCUAAGGUUUAAAGCAUAUUAUCUGGACCGUAUCUCUGCCUUGGGCUCAUUUCUUGGUCUCCUGGAAACACAGUCUUGUCAUCAAGACUGAAACAGUAAAAGAGCUCCGGAUCUGGUCCGACAUUAGGCACCAAAUGUAGGUAGGGGCUCCAACACCUAACAACAUGAGAAGUCAUCAAAUGGAAGCAACACAUAUUCAGAGGAUGUUUAGUGCUUGCAUAGUUAUGAUAGUUUUGUAUUUUUUUGGUUACUUUACGACUUGUUAUGUAACUAUGAAGUUAUGAGAUAAAAUUAGUCAAGUGUAUAUUCAUUACAGAUCAAAAUUGUAUGUUCAUUACUAAUGGUCUAAAUCGUCGAUAUGAUUUUUUCGUCAAA